CACGUAGGGGACGAGCGUUGUCCGGAUUCAUUGGGCGUAAAGCGCGCGUAGGCGGCUCGGAAAGUCGGUCGUGAAAUGCCGGGGCUCAACCCCGGGACUGCGUCCGAUACUUCCGGGCUGGAGGUAGGUAGGGGAGAUCGGAAUUCCUGGUGUAGCGGUGGAAUGCGCAGAUAUCAGGAGGAACACCGGUGGCGAAGGCGCCACUCUGGGCCGGUACUGACGCUGAGGAGCGAAAGCGUGGGGAGCGAACAGG
rnacentral:rRNA from 1 species